AUUGAACGCUGGCGGCAUGCCUUACACAUGCAAGUCGAACGGUAACAGGUCUUCGGAUGCUGACGAGUGGCGAACGGGUGAGUAAUGCAUCGGAACGUGCCCAGAUGUGGGGGAUAACUGCUCGAAAGAGCAGCUAAUACCGCAUACGACCUGAGGGUGAAAGCGGGGGAUCGCAAGACCUCGCGCAAUUGGAGCGGCCGAUGUCAGAUUAGGUAGUUGGUGGGGUAAAGGCCUACCAAGCCGACGAUCUGUAGUUGGUCUGAGAGGACGACCAGCCACACUGGGACUGAGACACGGACCAGCCUCCUACGGGAGGCAGCAGUGGGGAAUUUUGGACAAUGGGCGCAAGCAUGAUCCAGCAAUGCCGCGUGCAGGAAGAAGGCCUUCGGGUUGUAAACUGCUUUUGUCAGGGAAGAAAUCCUCUGGGUUAAUACCCCGGGGGGAUGACGGUACCUGAAGAAUAAGCACCGGCUAACUACGUGCCAGCCGCCGCAGUAA
rnacentral:rRNA from 1 species